GCGGGUGUGGCGGAAUUGGCAGACGCACUAGACUUAGGAUCUAGCGCCUUUGGCGUGGGGGUUCGAGUCCCUCCACCCGCACCA
rnacentral:tRNA from 1 species